rnacentral:rRNA from 1 species
GUAACACGUAAGCAACCUGCCUUUAAGACGAGAAUAACAAUUGGAAACAGUUGCUAAGGCUGGAUAGGAAAUAAAAAGGCAAUCUUUUUAUUUUUAAAAGACCUUUUUCGGAAGGUAUGCUUAAAGAGGGGCUUGCGUCACAUUAGUUAGUUGGUAGGGUAAAGGCCUACCAAGACGAUGAUGUGUAGCUGGACUGAGAGGUUGAACAGCCACAUUGGGACUGAGACACGGCCCAAACUCCUACGGGAGGCAGCAGUAGGGAAUUUUCGGCAAUGGAGGAAACUCUGACCGAGCAACGCCGCGUGAACGACGAAGUACUUCGGUAUGUAAAGUUCUUUUAUUGAAGAAGAAACAAUAGUGGAAAAACUAUCUUGACGUUAUUCAAUGAAUAAGCCCCGGCUAACUAUGUGCCAGCAGCCGCGGUAAUACAUAGGGGGCGAGCGUUAUCCGGAAUUAUUGGGCGUAAAGGGUGCGUAGGCGGUUUAAUAAGUCUCUAGUUUAAUUUCAACGCUUAACGUUGUCCUGCUAGAGAAACUGUUUAACUAGAGUGAGAUAGAGGUAAGCGGAAUUCCAUGUGUAGCGGUAAAAUGUGUAAAUAUAUGGAGGAACACCAGAGGCGUAGGCGGCUUACUGGGUCUUUACUGACGCUGAUGCACGAAAGCGUGGGGAGCAAACAGGAUUAGAUACCCUGGUAGUCCACGCCGUAAACUAUGAGUACUAAGUGUCGGGGUUAAACUCGGUACUGAAGUUAACACAUUAAGUACUCCGCCUGAGUAGUACGUACGCAAGUAUGAAACUUAAAGGAAUUGACGGGAUCCCGCACAAGCGGUGGAUCAUGUUGUUUAAUUCGAAGAUACACGAAAAACCUUACCAGGUCUUGACAUACUCUGCAAAGCUAUAGAAAUAUAGUGGAGGUUAUCAGGGAUACAGGUGGUGCAUGGUUGUCGUCAGCUCGUGUCGUGAGAUGUUAGGUUAAGUUCUAAAACGAGCGCAACCCCUGUCGUUAAUUGCCAGCACGUUAUGGUGGGGACUUUAGCGAGACUGCCAAUGAAAAAUUGGAGGAAGGUGGGGAUUACGUCAAAUCAUCAUGCCCCUUAUGAUCUGGGCUACAAACGUGAUACAAUGGCUAUUACAAAGAGUAGCUGAAACGCGAGUUUUCGGCAAAUCUCAAAAAAAUAGUCUCAGUUCGGAUUGAAGUCUGCAACUCGACUUCAUGAAGUUGGAAUCGCUAGUAAUCGCGAAUCAGCAUGUCGCGGUGAAUACGUUCUCGGGGUUUGUACACACCGCCCGUCAAACCACGAAAGUGGACAAUACCCGAAAGCGACAGCCUAACUGCGUAAGCAGAGGGAAUCGUCUAAGGUAGGGUCGAUGAUUGGGGUUAAGUCGUAACAAGGUAUCCCUACCGGAAGGUGGGGAUGGAUCACCUCCUUUCU